AAGUGUUAGUUAGUUGAGAAUCACUUGCAUUCACGUGCAAUUUGCCUUUCUUAAACUCACUCCCAACAGCUUCUUCUCUUGUGAACUCUUUGGUUAAAACUUACGGUUCCAAUCCAAACCUGAAAGUAACCCAUUUACCAACAACUCUUCUGAUCUGUUAUUAUUAUUAUUCUUUUUGUUUCUUUUCCGGUCACUCAAAUUAUCGAAUUCCCAAAAGCUCCUUUCCCAUUCCCAUUGCAAAAAACCAGUCCAACCCCAAAGCUCACUUUCGUAAUUUUCCACAAUGAAUACACCCCAGCCCGAACCAGACCGUCCGGUCCCGACCUCAACUUCCUCGCCACGGCGCCUUCUUCUGAGCUCGACCCCAAUCUCUGGCUCCCAGCGGAAGAUCGCAAUCGCAGUCGAUUUAAGCGACGAGAGCGCCUACGCCGUUCGAUGGGCCGUCCAGAACUACCUCCGGCCCGGAGACACGGUGAUCCUCCUCCACGUUCGUCCCACGAGCGUCCUCUACGGUGCUGAUUGGGGCUCCAUUGAACUUAAUCCGAACAGCAACAACCAAAACGAAGUCGUUUCGUCUUCGUCUUCCUCAACCACAACGGAAGAGUCUCAGAGGAAGCUCGAGGACGAUUUUGACAUUUUCACUACCACGAAAGCCCAGGACUUGGCCCAGCCAUUGGUGGAAGGAGAAAUUCCCUUUAAAAUCCACAUUGUGAAGGACCACGACUUGAAAGAGCGGCUCUGCUUGGAGGUCGAGAGGCUAGGGCUCAGCGCCGUAAUCAUGGGGAGCCGAGGGUUCGGCGCCUCUAAGCGCACAGCCAAAGGAAGGCUCGGUAGCGUUAGCGAUUACUGCGUUCACCAUUGCAUUUGUCCUGUUGUGGUGGUACGGUACCCGGACGACAAGGAUGGGUCUGAUGACAGCGUUGGCAACGUUUUUGUGGGCAGUGGGCCUGUGGCGAAGGCGGCGGUACAGCAGGUUGAGCUGCAUCCGGUGCCGGAGGAGGAAGAUCAAGAGUACCAUGACGCUCCUGCUGAUCCUUAAAGCGCUGCAGAUGCUUAACCAUUGAUUCUCUACGAAUUCAUGAUUCCUUCUUCCUAAUUUCAGAAGCUGACCGAGGCUGCCUGGAAAAUUUCUCUUCGUUACAUUUAUUUAUGCCUUGUAAAAAUGAAUGAAGGUGGUACCAUUUAGCUUGUACGUCAUUUCCACUCGAAUAUCAUAUGAAAUGAUUGCUUGUGUAUAAUAAUUAUUCCAGACGUUUCUGGUUCAAACCUUCAUAAGCAACAGUAAAAUAAACAUUUGCUUGUCUA